rnacentral:rRNA from 1 species
UUAAGCGACUAAGCGUACACGGUGGAUGCCCUGGCAGUCAGAGGCGAUGAAGGACGUGCUAAUCUGCGAAAAGCGUCGGUAAGGUGAUAUGAACCGUUACAGCCGGCGAUGUCCGAAUGGGGAAACCCAGUGCAAUUCGUUGCACUAUCGUUAACUGAAUACAUAGGUUAACGAGGCGAACCGGGGGAACUGAAACAUCUAAGUACCCCGAGGAAAAGAAAUCAACCGAGAUUCCCCCAGUAGCGGCGAGCGAACGGGGAGCAGCCCAGAGUCUGAAUCAGCUUGUGUGUUAGUGGAACGGUCUGGAAAGUCCGACGGUACAGGGUGAUAGUCCCGUACACCAAAAUGCACAGGCUGUGAACUCGAAGAGUAGGGCGGGACACGUGGUAUCCUGUCUGAAUAUGGGGGGACCAUCCUCCAAGGCUAAAUACUCCUGACUGACCGAUAGUGAACCAGUACCGUGAGGGAAAGGCGAAAAGAACCCCGGCGAGGGGAGUGAAAAAGAACCUGAAACCGUGUACGUACAAGCAGUGGGAGCACCUUCGGGUGUGACUGCGUACCUUUUGUAUAAUGGGUCAGCGACUUAUAUUCUGUAGCAAGGUUAACCGUAUAGGGGAGCCGCAGGGAAACCGAGUCUUAACUGGGCGUUAAGUUGCAGGGUAUAGACCCGAAACCCGGUGAUCUAGCCAUGGGCAGGUUGAAGGUUGGGUAACACUAACUGGAGGACCGAACCGACUAAUGUUGAAAAAUUAGCGGAUGACUUGUGGCUGGGGGUGAAAGGCCAAUCAAACCGGGAGAUAGCUGGUUCUCCCCGAAAGCUAUUUAGGUAGCGCCUCGUGAAUUCAUCUUCGGGGGUAGAGCACUGUUUCGGCUAGGGGGUCAUCCCGACUUACCAACCCGAUGCAAACUACGAAUACCGAAGAAUGUUAUCACGGGAGACACACGGCGGGUGCUAACGUCCGUCGUGAAGAGGGAAACAACCCAGACCGCCAGCUAAGGUCCCAAAGUCAUGGUUAAGUGGGAAACGAUGUGGGAAGGCACAGACAGCCAGGAUGUUGGCUUAGAAGCAGCCAUCAUUUAAAGAAAGCGUAAUAGCUCACUGGUCGAGUCGGCCUGCGCGGAAGAUGUAACGGGGCUAAACCAUGCACCGAAGCUGCGGCAGCGACACUAUGUGUUGUUGGGUAGGGGAGCGUUCUGUAAGCCUGCGAAGGUGACCUGUGAGGGUUGCUGGAGGUAUCAGAAGUGCGAAUGCUGACAUAAGUAACGAUAAAGCGGGUGAAAAGCCCGCUCGCCGGAAGACCAAGGGUUCCUGUCCAACGUUAAUCGGGGCAGGGUGAGUCGACCCCUAAGGCGAGGCCGAAAGGCGUAGUCGAUGGGAAACAGGUUAAUAUUCCUGUACUUGGUGUUACUGCGAAGGGGGGACGGAGAAGGCUAUGUUAGCCGGGCGACGGUUGUCCCGGUUUAAGCAUGUAGGCUGAUUGUCCAGGCAAAUCCGGAUAAUCAAGGCUGAGGUGUGAUGACGAGGCACUACGGUGCUGAAGUAACAAAUGCCCUGCUUCCAGGAAAAGCCUCUAAGCAUCAGGUAACAUCAAAUCGUACCCCAAACCGACACAGGUGGUCAGGUAGAGAAUACCAAGGCGCUUGAGAGAACUCGGGUGAAGGAACUAGGCAAAAUGGUGCCGUAACUUCGGGAGAAGGCACGCUGGUGUGUAGGUGAAGUCCCUGCGGAUGGAGCUGAGACCAGUCGAAGAUACCAGCUGGCUGCAACUGUUUAUUAAAAACACAGCACUGUGCAAACACGAAAGUGGACGUAUACGGUGUGACGCCUGCCCGGUGCCGGAAGGUUAAUUGAUGGGGUUAUCCGUAAGGAGAAGCUCUUGAUCGAAGCCCCGGUAAACGGCGGCCGUAACUAUAACGGUCCUAAGGUAGCGAAAUUCCUUGUCGGGUAAGUUCCGACCUGCACGAAUGGCGUAAUGAUGGCCAGGCUGUCUCCACCCGAGACUCAGUGAAAUUGAACUCGCUGUGAAGAUGCAGUGUACCCGCGGCAAGACGGAAAGACCCCGUGAACCUUUACUAUAGCUUGACACUGAACAUUGAGCCUUGAUGUGUAGGAUAGGUGGGAGGCUUUGAAGCGUGGACGCCAGUCUGCGUGGAGCCAACCUUGAAAUACCACCCUUUAAUGUUUGAUGUUCUAACGUUGGCCCCUUACCGGGGUUGCGGACAGUGUCUGGUGGGUAGUUUGACUGGGGCGGUCUCCUCCCAAAGCGUAACGGAGGAGCACGAAGGUUAGCUAAUCCUGGUCGGACAUCAGGAGGUUAGUGCAAUGGCAUAAGCUAGCUUGACUGCGAGCGUGACGGCGCGAGCAGGUGCGAAAGCAGGUCAUAGUGAUCCGGUGGUUCUGAAUGGAAGGGCCAUCGCUCAACGGAUAAAAGGUACUCCGGGGAUAACAGGCUGAUACCGCCCAAGAGUUCAUAUCGACGGCGGUGUUUGGCACCUCGAUGUCGGCUCAUCACAUCCUGGGGCUGAAGUAGGUCCCAAGGGUAUGGCUGUUCGCCAUUUAAAGUGGUACGCGAGCUGGGUUUAGAACGUCGUGAGACAGUUCGGUCCCUAUCUGCCGUGGGCGCUGGAGAAUUGAGGGGGGCUGCUCCUAGUACGAGAGGACCGGAGUGGACGCAUCACUGGUGUUCGGGUUGUCAUGCCAAUGGCACUGCCCGGUAGCUAAAUGCGGAAGAGAUAAGUGCUGAAAGCAUCUAAGCACGAAACUUGCCCCGAGAUGAGUUCUCCCUGAGACUUUAAGUCUCCUGAAGGAACGUUAAAGACGAUGACGUUGAUAGGCCGGGUGUGUAAGCGCAGCGAUGCGUUGAGCUAACCGGUACUAAUGAACCGUGAGGCUUAACCUU